GGUUAAGCGACUAAGCGUACACGGUGGAUGCCCUGGCAGUCAGAGGCGAUGAAGGGCGUGCUAAUCUGCGAUAAGCGCCGGUAAGGUGAUAUGAACCGUUAUAACCGGCGAUACCCGAAUGGGGAAACCCAGUGUGAUUCGUCACACUAUCAUUAACUGAAUCCAUAGGUUAAUGAGGCGAACCGGGGGAACUGAAACAUCUAAGUACCCCGAGGAAAAGAAAUCAACCGAGAUUCCCCCAGUAGCGGCGAGCGAACGGGGAGGAGCCCAGAGCCUGAAUCAGCAUGUGUGUUAGUGGAAGCGUCUGGAAAGGCGCGCGAUACAGGGUGACAGCCCCGUACACAAAAGCGCAUGUGCUGUGAGCUCGAUGAGUAGGGCGGGACACGUGGUAUCCUGUCUGAAUAUGGGGGGACCAUCCUCCAAGGCUAAAUACUCCUGACUGACCGAUAGUGAACCAGUACCGUGAGGGAAAGGCGAAAAGAACCCCGGCGAGGGGAGUGAAAAAGAACCUGAAACCGUGUACGUACAAGCAGUGGGAGCACCCUUUGGGUGUGACUGCGUACCUUUUGUAUAAUGGGUCAGCGACUUAUAUUCUGUAGCAAGGUUAACCGAAUAGGGGAGCCGGAGGGAAACCGAGUCUUAACCGGGCGUUAAGUUGCAGGGUAUAGACCCGAAACCCGGUGAUCUAGCCAUGGGCAGGUUGAAGGUUGGGUAACACUAACUGGAGGACCGAACCGACUAAUGUUGAAAAAUUAGCGGAUGACCUGUGGCUGGGGGUGAAAGGCCAAUCAAACCGGGAGAUAGCUGGUUCUCCCCGAAAGCUAUUUAGGUAGCGCCUCGUGAAUUCAUCUCCGGGGGUAGAGCACUGUUUCGGCUAGGGGGCCAUCCCGGCUUACCAACCCGAUGCAAACUGCGAAUACCGGAGAAUGUUAUCACGGGAGACACACGGCGGGUGCUAACGUCCGUCGUGAAGAGGGAAACAACCCAGACCGCCAGCUAAGGUCCCAAAGUCAUGGUUAAGUGGGAAACGAUGUGGGAAGGCCCAGACAGCCAGGAUGUUGGCUUAGAAGCAGCCAUCAUUUAAAGAAAGCGUAAUAGCUCACUGGUCGAGUCGGCCUGCGCGGAAGAUGUAACGGGGCUAAACCAUGCACCGAAGCUGCGGCAGCGACACUGUGUGUUGUUGGGUAGGGGAGCGUUCUGUAAGCCUGUGAAGGUGUGUCGUGAGGCAUGCUGGAGGUAUCAGAAGUGCGAAUGCUGACAUAAGUAACGAUAAAGCGGGUGAAAAGCCCGCUCGCCGGAAGACCAAGGGUUCCUGUCCAACGUUAAUCGGGGCAGGGUGAGUCGACCCCUAAGGCGAGGCCGAAAGGCGUAGUCGAUGGGAAACGGGUUAAUAUUCCCGUACUUGGUGUUACUGCGAAGGGGGGACGGAGAAGGCUAUGUUGGCCGGGCGACGGUUGUCCCGGUUUAAGCGUGUAGGUGUGUGUUCCAGGUAAAUCCGGUUCACUUUAACACUGAGGCGUGACGACGAGGCACUACGGUGCUGAAGCAACAAAUGCCCUGCUUCCAGGAAAA
rnacentral:rRNA from 1 species